rnacentral:rRNA from 1 species
UUGGGUUAAGUCCCGCACCGAGCGCAACCCUUAUCCUAUGUUGCCAGCGCGUCAUGGCGGGGACUCAUAGGAGACUGCCGGGGUCAACUCGGAGGAAGGUGGGGAUGACGUCAAGUCAUCAUGCCCCUUACGUCCUGGGCUGCACACAUGCUACAAUGGCCGGUACAAAGGGCUGCGAUACCGCAAGGUGGAGCGAAUCCCAAAAAGCCGGUCUCAGUUCGGAUCGGGGUCUGCAACUCGACCCCGUGAAGUCGGAGUCGCUAGUAAUCGCAGAUCAGCAAUGCUGCGGUGAAUACGUUCCCGGGCCUUGUACACACCGCCCGUCACGUCACGAAAGUCGGUAACACCCGAAGCCGGUGGCCCAACCCUUGUGGGGGGAGCCGUCGAAGGUGGGACCGGCGAUUGGGACGAAGUCGUAACAAGGUAGCCGUACCGGAAGGUGCGGCUGGAUCACCUCCUUUCUAAGGAGCUUUCUGACUGGGGCCUUCUGUAGUGGGGGGUUUCUGGUGCGGAGCGAAGACCGGCCGGAUGGUUGGUCU